AUACAGAGGGUGCAAGCGUUAAUCGGAAUUACUGGGCGUAAAGCGUACGUAGGCGGUUUGGUAAGUCAGAUGUGAAAGCCCUGAGCUUAACUUGGGAACUGCAUUUGAAACUGCCUGACUAGAGUGUGGUAGAGGAUAGUGGAAUUUCCGGUGUAGCGGUGAAAUGCGUAGAGAUCGGAAGGAACACCAGUGGCGAAGGCGGCUAUCUGGAUCAACACUGACGCUGAGGUACGAAAGCGUGGGGAGCAAACAGGAUUAGAUACCCCAGUAGUCC
rnacentral:rRNA from 1 species